UACGUAGGGUGCGAGCGUUGUCCGGAAUUAUUGGGCGUAAAGAGCUCGUAGGCGGUCUGUCGCGUCUGCUGUGAAAACUCAGGGCUUAACUCUGAGCUUGCAGUGGGUACGGGCAGACUAGAGUGCGGUAGGGGAGACUGGAAUUCCUGGUGUAGCGGUGAAAUGCGCAGAUAUCAGGAGGAACACCGGUGGCGAAGGCGGGUCUCUGGGCCGUAACUGACGCUGAGGAGCGAAAGCAUGGGGAGCGAACAGG
rnacentral:rRNA from 1 species